rnacentral:pre_miRNA from 1 species
CUAUGGUGAUUAUGAUGAUGAUAAUGAUGAUGGUGAUGAUGAUGAUUGUCAUCGUCAUCAUCAUCGUCGUCAUCAUCGUCAUCGUGA